GGCGUGGUGGCGAAGUGGUAACGCUGCGGUCUGCAAAACCGCCAUGCGCGGGUUCAAUUCCCGCCCACGCCU
rnacentral:tRNA from 1 species